rnacentral:lncRNA from 1 species
GAGACCACAAUCCCGGUAGGGUUCCCUACGGACCCGGUCCGUCCACCAUCUCCCAGGAUAUCUAGUCAGGCUGACCACAUUAUACAAUUACCCAUUUACAUAAUCUUUCAUUCUCUUUUUCCCUCAGUCAGCAUUAUCAAUACACAUACAAACAAGUAAGACGAUAAUUUAUGGCAAACAGACAACAUACAGUAUCAAUAUCUCAAUCAUUCAAUCCAUAGUUAGUAAAAUAGUAAAAUAUGCACACGAAACUAUAAAAUGAAAACAUCAAACCUC